UCGAUGUUCGCUGUUCGCGGGAAUGGUUUAAAGGAAAAAACAAAUUGGGCUAAUCUAAAAAAUCGUGGAGAGAAAUAAUAGGAUUAAAAAAUUUUUAAAAAUUUAAAGUUUAUUAUUAUAAUAAGCUUUGUUUUUUGAAGAAUAAAGUUUAUUGUUAUUAUAAUCUUUAUCUUUUUUAAAUUUUUAAAGUUUAACAAUUAAACUUAUAACAAUAAAAUUGUAACAAUCCUUUUAUUUACUCUCGCUGCAAAAUUAAUUUGGCUCCUGGCAAUUGUCAGAAAUUUAGCGAAUUAUAACUUUUGUGAAUCUAUAGUUAUAAUUAAUUAUUGUGAUUUCUUUUGCAAAGGAUAUUUAGAAUGUUAUCAGCUGUCAUUAAUUUUUAAAUUUCAGAUUUUAUUUCGGGAUUUUGAAUUCUAAAAUUAUCAAUGUAAUCAUUAUUAAUGACAGCUUAAUUACCAGCAGUCUCGGUAAUUACAGCUCAGCUAACUAUCUAAAUAAAAGAUAUCUGGUUGAUCCUGCCUGAACUGAUGUGUUCAUUUCAAAGAUUAAGCCAUGCAUGUAUAAGUUUAAUCGUUUUAACGAGAAACCGCGAACGGCUCAUUACAAUGGCCAUGAUUUACUUGAUCUUGAUUAUCUAAAUGGAUAACUGUGGAAAAGCUAGAGCUAAUACAUGCACCAAAGCUUUGUCCUCUCGGAAAAGCGCAUUUAUUAGAACAAAACCACGCGGCUUCGGCUGCUUCUUGUUGACUCAGAAUAACUAAGCUGACCGCAUGGCCUUGUGCCGGCGGCGUGUCUUUCAAGCGUCCACUUUAUCAACUUGACGGGAGCAUAAUCGACUCCCGUGGUGGUGACGGAUAACGGAGGAUCAGGGUUCGACUCCGGAGAAGGGGCCUGAGAAAUGGCCACUACGUCUAAGGAUGGCAGCAGGCGCGCAAAUUACCCACUCUCGGCUCGAGGAGGUAGUGACGAGAAAUAACGAGAUCGUUCUCUUUGAGGCCGGUCAUCGGAAUGGGUACAAUUUAAACCCUUUAACGAGUAUCAAGCAGAGGGCAAGUCUGGUGCCAGCAGCCGCGGUAAUUCCAGCUCUGCUAAUACAUAGAAUUAUUGCUGCGGUUAAAAAGCUCGUAGUUGGAUUCGUAUCGGUACCCUGGAACCCUCCGGGUGUUUCUGGGUGUUGUCGAUUUAUCGUAAUGUUCGGUUUUGAGUCCUUAACAGGAUUCUUAACAGGCAUUGCAAGUUUACUUUGAACAAAUCAGAGUGCUUCAAACAGGCGUUUUCGCUUGAAUGAUCGUGCAUGGAAUAAUAGAAAACGAUUUCGGUUCAGUUUUAUUGGUUUUACGGACUGAGAUAAUGGUUAACAGAGACAAACGGGGGCAUUUGUAUGGCCCCGUGAGAGGUGAAAUUCUUGGACCGUGGCCAGACAAACUACAGCGAAAGCAUUUGCCAAGAAUGUCUUCAUUAAUCAAGAACGAAAGUUGUGUCCCGUGUGCUCCACAUGAGCCGUGAAAAUGCGAGGGAGGCAAUUUAAAAUCUCCUGCCUGAUCGUACCCAUAUCCGCAGCAGGUCUCCAAGGUGAACAGCCUCUAGUCGAUAGAAUAAUGUAGGUAAGGGAAGUCGGCAAAUUAGAUUCGUAACUUCGGGAAAAGAAUUGGCUCUAAAGGUUGAGUCAGUCGGGCUGUUGUGUGAAACAGGUGGACUUUGCUCGUGGCUGCUUGAGCUUCCUUACGGGGCGGCGCUUGUGGACUAGUAGUGAGGACUGCUUGUGGAGUGCUUCAGCUGCGUGCUAUUUCGCAAGAUAUAGUACUUCGAUUGGCGCUGAACAACCAGUUUAGAACUGGCACGAACUCCGGGAAUCCGACUGUCUAAUUAAAACAGAGGAGACGGAUGGUCCUUGCAGGACGUUGACCGUGUCUGAUUUCUGCCCAGUGCUCUGAAUGUUAAGCCAAGGAAACUUGAUUAAGCGCGGGUAAACGGCGGGAGUAACUAUGACUCUCUUAAGGUAGCCAAAUGCCUCGUCGGCUAACUACCGACGCGCACGAAUGGAUCAACGAGAUUCCCACUGUCCCUAUCUACUAUCUAGCGAAACCACAGCCAAGGGAACGGGCUUGGCAAUUUAGCGGGAAAGAAGACCCUGUUGAGCUUGACUCUAGUCUGACUUUGUGAAGAAUCAUGAGAGGUGUAGCAUAAGUGGGAGUCGCAAGACAACAGUGAAAUACCACUACUUUCAUCGAUUCCUUACUUAAUCGGUAAAACGGGAGUUGUGUCUAAGGACCUUCAUUUUUGUUUUAAGACUAGCCACUCGGUGGUUGGUUGACUCGCGCCGAUGACAUUGUCAGGCGGGGAGUUUGACUGGGGCGGUACAUCUGUCAAAUUGUAACGCAGGUGUCCUAAGGCGAGCUCAGAGAGGACGGAAACCUCUCGUUGAGCAAAAAGGCAAAUGCUUACUUGAUCUUGAUUUUCAGUACGAAUACAGACCGCGAAAGCGUGGCUUAUCGAUCCUUUUGAGUUUGUAAAGUUUACAGCAAGAGGUGUCAGAAAAGUUACCACAGGGAUAACUGGCUUGUGGCGGCCAAGCGUCCAUAGCGACGUCGCUUUUUGAUCCUUCGAUGUCGGCUCUUCCUAUCAUUGCGAAGCAGAAUUCGCCAAGCGUUGGAUUGUUCACCCACCAAUAGGGAACGUGAGCUGGGUUUAGACCGUCGUGAGACAGGUUAGUUUUACCCUACUAAAUACUUGUUGCUAUGAUGGUAAUCCUGCUUAGUACGAGAGGAACCGCAGGUUCAGACAUUUGGUUCAUGUGCUUGGUCGAUAGGCCAAUGGCGCGAAGCUACCAUCUGAGGGAUUAUGACUGAACGCCUCUAAGUCAGAAUCCCGCCCAGUCAUGAUAGCAAUAUAUAUCGCUCUCCGGUGUCGGAAGGCAAAAUGUAUGCCAUUUUUUGU
rnacentral:rRNA from 1 species